ensembl:snoRNA SNORD71 small nucleolar RNA, C/D box 71
UGUGCUGUUGGAGGAUGAAGCUUUAGAGUGAUCCAUCGGCAGAGCGUUCCCUUGCAAUGCUGACACUCAAGCUGCUGACAACGCACU